GGUACGCUUUUUCAUUCACUCAUUAUCAACUUUAAAAAUCUAUAUCUAACUGAUCAUUUUCAACGCAGAUGAAGAGAAACAAAUGAAUGCAACAUAUAUCAUCAGUAUCGCCAGGAAAAUGGGCUGUUCAAUAUUUUUGCUUCCUGAAGACAUAAUUGAGGUAAACCAGAAGAUGAUGUUGACAUUAACAGCAAGUAUAAUGUACUGGUUCUU